UACGUAGGGGGCAAGCGUUGUCCGGAAUUAUUGGGCGUAAAGAGCUCGUAGGCGGUUUGUCACGUCUGCUGUGAAAUCCCGAGGCUCAACCUCGGGCCUGCAGUGGGUACGGGCAGACUGGAGUGCGGUAGGGGAGAAUGGAAUUCCUGGUGUAGCGGUGGAAUGCGCAGAUAUCAGGAGGAACACCGAUGGCGAAGGCAAGGUGCUGGACCCUCUCUGACGCUGAGGCGCGAAAGCCAGGGGAGCGAACGGG
rnacentral:rRNA from 1 species